GUAUCUAUACAAUGCGCUAAAAUAUAUAUUUCUAUAUAUAUUGAUGUAUCAAUUCAUACAGUUAUUAACGUAUAUGUACAUUAAUUUAUAUACUACACACACACUCACUCACACUUACACUCACACUCACCACUCACACUCAUACACACUCACACACAUAUACACUCACACUCACACUCACUCAUACACACAAAUAUAUAUACUACACAUGUUUACGUAUUGUGUAUGGACUGUAUGUGCAUAUAUACGAUGUGUUUAUAUUGAUAUGUUUAUGCGAGUAUAUAUACAAUUGCUU
rnacentral:lncRNA from 1 species